rnacentral:lncRNA from 1 species
CUCAGUGGACAGUGAGGGGCGCUUGGCUUGGUUUGCAAUGUUUCUUGGUUGCAUGUCUUCCCUGAUCUUUGCUUUAUUGAAAGAGGCACGACAGAGAACAACUCCUGGCAUCCCUGUUGGUCCUGAUUCCUCCUACUGACUCCUGCCAAUUCAGCUGAGGCCUGGCUGUCUCUGCUAGGUCAUGCCACCAUUGCUGAUCUGUGUUUGCUAACACAAACACAACAGAAGCUGGGACUCAGCUGUCCUCUUUCAACUUUCCAUCUCCAGGGCCAGGCAAACGGAGACACUCCGUGAAUAAAGAUGAACCGACUUAUUUACUAAACAGGGAGCAUUGAUGCCUCCUGGAGUCAAGUCCCACGCCCUGACCAGCCUUCCUCGGCCACGCCCCUUCCUGCCUCUGCGCAUGAUGGAGGGCCGAUCUGCCCACUCUCUGAUCCCCUCAUUGGCUAUAGGAACUAUUGUAAUCUAUACUGCAAGACUCCAAUCAGUGUAACAGUUGAGACUAUGGACAGGGAGCGAUCCAGAAACAUUUCUUAAAUCUCUGCCUUUGCCUCUUUCAAGCUGUAUGCCCUAGGUGGUAUGGCAGAGUUCCAGGCCCAGCGGCUGCUCCCUGCACCUGCCCCCUCCACAUCCAAUUUCUUUGCAAUGGCCUAAAAAGCUAACCAAGCUGAAAUAGCUCAUUCCAAGGCUCUCAAACUCCGGCACCAUUAUUCAGUGUUUGCAGAGGCCUAGCCUCAUCCCUGCCACUCACCA